CGACUUCAGGAACCCUUUUGU
rnacentral:siRNA from 1 species